CACGUAGUUAGCCGGAGCUUUCUUCACAGGUACAGCCUUUUUCUUCCCUGUGGACAAUAGUUUACAAUCCGAAAACCUUCUUCCUAUACGCGGCGUCACUGCGUCAGAGUUGCCUCCAUUGCGCAAUAUUCCCGACUGCUGCCUCCCGUAGGAGUCUGGGCCGUAUCUCAGUCCCAAUGUGGCCGUUCAACCUCUCAGUCCGGCUACUGAUCGUCGCCUUGGUAGGCCUUUACCCCACCAACUAGCUAAUCAGCCGCAAGCUCAUCUAUCAGCGAAUUGCUUCUUUCCCACUAACAUCAUGCGAUGUUUAUGGCAUAUGCGGUAUUAGCAGUGAUUUCUCACUCGUUAUUCCCCUCUGAUAGGCAGAUUUCUUACGUGUUACUCACCAGUCCGCCACUAACCGUCUUACCUUGCAAGCAAGAUUAUUAAGUUCGUUCGACUUUGCAUGUCUUAUGUGCGCCGCAGCGUUUAUCCUGACGCCAGACUA
rnacentral:rRNA from 1 species